rnacentral:misc_RNA from 1 species
AAUUUACUGAAAAUGAUUUGACAUGUAAUAAGAAAAUAGCAUCAUAACUUUUCAACGAAUCUUAGACGUUAAUAGAAAUCACAAUUAUGUUUGAAGGAAUUUUUUGAAGAAAAGGAAUACAUGACUACUAUCAAUUUUUGGUAUCUUAUGAAAAUAAAUACAAGUUAUUUAUUUUUUUGAAAAAAAAUAUUGAAGUAAAAAAUAAGUGCAUCAUAUUAAAAAAAUAUAUAUACAAAAAAAUAUUAAACGAAAAAGUAAUAAAACAAAGGGCGAAAUGACGAGACCGCCCAACAAUGAUAAUCUUGUGACAUUUAAACUAGUUGUGGUUGGAGAUGGAGGCGUAGGGAAAAGUGCCCUGACUAUACAAUUCUUCCAAAGACUUUUUGUUACCGAUUAUGAUCCUACGAUCGAAGACAGCUACAUUCAACACACAGAAGUGGAUAAGCAAUGGUGUAUCCUAGAUGUUCUUGAUACUGCGGGUCAAGAGGAAUUUAGUGCUAUGAGAGAACAAUACAUGAGAAAAGGAGAUGGAUUUCUUUUAGUUUACUCCGUAACUGAUAAACAAUCUUAUGAAAAUAUUAUUAACUUCCAUACUCAAAUUCUUCGAGUUAAAGAUAGAGAUGUAUAUCCUAUGUUACUGGUUGCUAAUAAAGUGGAUCUUGUCCAUUUAAGAAAAAUCACAGAAGAGCAAGGACGAGAACUAGCACAUAGACUUGGAAUUCCUUACAUUGAGACUUCAGCUAAAGAUCCUCCAUUAAAUGUUGAUGCAGCUUUUCAUGAGGUCGUACGCAUCAUUCGAAAUCAACCACCUACGGAGUUUGAAAAAAAUCGUAGAAAAAGAAGACGAUCUGGCAAGUGUAGUCUUCUUUAAAGAUUAAAUGGAAUGGACAGAUUGAAUAAUUGGUUGUUUCCUGUGUUUAUUUUAUAUUUGUGGUUGAUGGAAUUUUUGUGGAACAUAAUAACUGAAACAUUUGAAGAUUAAUAAUAUACUGCCUAGUCAAAUCAUAUUUCUUUGAAGAAAGGAAACUUUUUAAUUGGAUAUAUUUCAUGUUUCCGUCUUAUAUGCUCUGUAACGAGCAAUCCAAUACAAUGCAUUAAUGAGAGUUUUAAUUUAAUCUACAAUAAAGGUUGUAUUUUGCUGAAUUAUCUAAAUAUUAUAUUAAAACUUACAAUUGAUAACAUCGAAAGCUUCAUAUAAUCAUCUAUUUUCACAUUAUUUAAUAAAAUGAUAAAUAUAAAUAUUUAUAAAAUAAGCAUAUAAACACA